GAUGAACGCUGACAGAAUGCUUAACACAUGCAAGUCUUUGGCGAAGCUGUGCUUGCACAGCCUAGCCAAGGCGGACGGGUGAGUAACGCGUAAGGAACUUGCCCUGCAGUCAGGGAUAACAGACGGAAACGACUGAUAAGACCUGGUAAAGUCAGGCGGACUCAUGUCCAGCCUGAUGAAAAGUGAUGCUGCAGGAAAGCCUUGCGUCCUAUUAGCUUGUUGGUGGGGUAACGGCCCACCAAGGCGAUGAUAGGUAGCCGGCCUGAGAGGGUGGACGGCCACAAGGGGACUGAGAUACGGCCCUUACUCCUACGGGAGGCAGCAGUGGGGAAUAUUGGACAAUGGGGGCAACCCUGAUCCAGCAAUUCUGUGUGCACGAUGAAGGUUUUCGGAUUGUAAAGUGCUUUCAGCAGGGAAGAAAAAAAUGACGGAACCUGCAGAAGAAGCGACGGCUAAAUACGUG
rnacentral:rRNA from 1 species